GCAGAAUCUUCUAUUGGUGCUUCAACUUGAACAGCAGAAUCUUCUUUGGGAGGUUCAUAUGUCAAGGACACAUAAGCAUCUGUCUCUUUGUCUUUACUAGAAUAGUCAAUUGGUGCUUCAUUCUGAAUAGUUGCAUCGUCUUUCUCUUCAACUGUAGGAGGUUCAUAUGUCAAAGAUGCAUAAGAAUCUGUUUCUUUGUCUUCUCUAGUAUCUUCGAUUGGUGCUUCAUCCUGAAUAACUCCAUCAUCUUUCUCUUCAACUUUAGGAGAUUCAUAUAUCAAAGCUGCAUAAGCAUCCGUCUCUUUAUCAUUCCCAGAAUCUUCUAUCGGUGCUUCAGCCUGAACAGCUCCAUCAUCUUUCUCUUCAACCGUAGG
rnacentral:misc_RNA from 1 species